UACGUAGGGGGCAAGCGUUGUCCGGAUUUAUUGGGCGUAAAGAGCGUGUAGGCGGCCGUACAGGUCAGCUGUGAAAACUCGAGGCUCAACCUCGAGACGUCGGUUGAAACCGUACGGCUAGAGUCCGGAAGAGGAGAGUGGAAUUCCCGGUGUAGCGGUGAAAUGCGCAGAUAUCGGGAAGAACACCCGUGGCGAAGGCGGCUCUCUGGAACGCAACUGACGCUGAGACGCGAAAGCGUGGGGAGCAAACAGG
rnacentral:rRNA from 1 species